GAUGAACGCUGGCGGCGUGCCUAAUACAUGCAAGUCGAGCGAACAGACGAGGAGCUUGCUCCUCUGACGUUAGCGGCGGACAGGUGAGUAACACGUGGAUAACCUACCUAUAAGACUGGGAUAACUUCGGGAAACCGGAGCUAAUACCGGAUAAUAUAUUGAACCGCAUGGUUCAAUAGUGAAAGACGGUUUUGCUGUCACUUAUAGAUGGAUCCGCGCCGCAUUAGCUAGUUGGUAAGGUAACGGCUUACCAAGGCAACGAUGCGUAGCCGACCUGAGAGGGUGAUCGGCCACACUGGAACUGAGACACGGUCCAGACUCCUACGGGAGGCAGCAGUAGGGAAUCUUCCGCAAUGGGCGAAAGCCUGACGGAGCAACGCCGCGUGAGUGAUGAAGGUCUUCGGAUCGUAAAACUCUGUUAUUAGGGAAGAACAAAUGUGUAAGUAACUAUGCACGUCUUGACGGUACCUAAUCAGAAAGCCACGGCUAACUACGCG
rnacentral:rRNA from 1 species